AUGCUUAAUGCUAGAUCUAGAG
rnacentral:snRNA from 1 species